AGUGAACGCUGGCGGUAGGCCUAACACAUGCAAGUCGAACGGCAGCACAGUAAGCGCUUGCUCUUACGGGUGGCGAGUGGCGGACGGGUGAGGAAUACAUCGGAAUCUACUUUUUCGUGGGGGAUAACGUAGGGAAACUUACGCUAAUACCGCAUACGACCUACGGGUUAAAGCAGUGGAUCUUCGGACCUUGCGCGUUUGAAUGAGCCGAUGUCGGAUUAGCUAGUUGGCGAGGUAAAGGCCCACCAAGGCGACGAUCCGUAGCUGGUCUGAGAGGAUGAUCAGCCACACUGGAACUGAGACACGGUCCAGACUCCUACGGGAGGCAGCAGUGGGGAAUAUUGGACAAUGGGCGCAAGCCUGAUCCAGCCAUACCGCGUGAGUGAAGAAGGCCUUCGGGUUGUAAAGCCCUUUUGUUGGGAAAGAAAAGCAGCAGGUUAAUCCCCCGCUGUUCUGACGGUACCCAAAGAAUAAGCACCGGCUAACUUCGUG
rnacentral:rRNA from 1 species